rnacentral:tRNA from 1 species
CCUGGUAUCGUCUAGUGGUUAGGACACCAGGUUUUGACAUCUGGCGGGUCCUGGUAACCUGGGUUCGACUCCCAGUACCAGGU